AAUUAAGCACAAUGAUGAGUGGGGUGUUACAAACCACCAGGUCUCUGAUGUUUGGCAUUAAUUCGUUGACAAGUAAGGAAUCAGGAAACAUAAUUAAUAAUAUCUUUCUUCAUCCUGGGCCACCAAUAUUGGCGCCUCAAAUCUCGAUACAUCUUGGUGCUUCUGGAGUGGAUGGACAACUUUGAUGCAUGGACAACCUUAAGAACAUCUGUCCUGAUUGUAGCAGGAACACAAAUAUGAUCUCAGAAUCGACAUAAACAAUCAUCUGUGAGUCUAAAAUCAGGAAAAUCAUCAGAAGUAAACAUACUUAAGUGUUGAGUAAUCACUAAAUCGGUGGACUUAACUUCCUAAAUCUUCAUGA
rnacentral:lncRNA from 1 species